AGGGCUGUGGUCUAGUGGCUAUGACAUCACCUUCACAAGGUGGGAGUCCGGGGUUCGAGUCCCCGCAGCCCUA
rnacentral:tRNA from 1 species